rnacentral:tRNA from 1 species
UCUAUUUUGGCAGAUUAAUUGCAUCAAAUUUAGAAUUUGAGUAUACUUUUAUGGUAGAUAGAA